UUGCAAUGAUGACCAUCUUAGGACACCUUUGGAAUUCAUCAUGAAAACAGCUAUAUUAAUCUGAGCAAC